rnacentral:lncRNA from 1 species
AUAAACUUAAAGCAUUAUUAAACACUAAACACACAAAAUAAGCAAUAGUAGUAUAUUUAAAGGCCUUUCAUGUGGAAGCAGGUAAUAUAAGUAACUGUAUGAAGUUAUGGCGUUAUGUAAUCUGAAGACUUCUUCAAAAAGAAGGCAAAAUACGAUACUCCUAUCAAUCUAUUUCGCGUUUAAUAUAGAAAACAAAUAUAGCAGGUAAUAUAAGUAACUGUAUGAAGUUAUGGCGUUACGUAAUCUGAAGACUUCUUCAAAAAGAAGGCAAAACACAAUACUCCUAUCAAUCUAUUUCGCGUUUAAUAUAGAAAGCAAAUAUGCAUCAAUACCU